UACGUAGGUCCCGAGCGUUGUCCGGAUUUAUUGGGCGUAAAGCGCGCGCAGGUGGUUUCUUAAGUCUGAUGUAAAAGGCAGUGGCUCAACCAUUGUGUGCAUUGGAAACUGUUAGACUUGAGUGCAGUAGAGGAGAGUGGAAUUCCAUGUGUAGCGGUGAAAUGCGUAGAUAUAUGGAGGAACACCGGUGGCGAAAGCGGCUCUCUGGACUGUAACUGACACUGAGGCUCGAAAGCGUGGGUAGCAAACAGG
rnacentral:rRNA from 1 species